AAAGUCGUAACAAGGUUUCCGUAGGUGAACCUGCGGAAGGAUCAUCAUUGAAUCCAUUUCUACAAACCCUGUGAACCGUAUGUUAAGAGCAUUUGGCAGGAAGGCUCGGCGGCUAGCCGGGCCGUGUCUUCUCAUCGCGGGAAGCGCCUGCCACCUGCUCGCAUUUUAAACAAACUCUUUAAACUUUUAAACUGAAACAAAAAUUUUAAACUAAAACAACUUUCAACAAUGGAUCUCUUGGCUCUC
rnacentral:misc_RNA from 1 species